AUUGCCUCAGUAACGGCGAGUGAAGCCGCAACAGCUCAAAUUUGAAAUCUGGCCCUAGGCCCGAGUUGUAAUUUGCAGAGGAUGCUUUUGGUGAGGUGCCUUCCGAGUUCCCUGGAACGGGACGCCAUAGAGGGUGAGAGCCCCGUCUGGUCGGACACCGAGCCUCUGUAAAGCUCCUUCGACGAGUCGAGUAGUUUGGGAAUGCUGCUCUAAAUGGGAGGUAUAUGUCUUCUAAAGCUAAAUACCGGCCAGAGACCGAUAGCGCACAAGUAGAGUGAUCGAAAGAUGAAAAGCACUUUGAAAAGAGAGUUAAAUAGCACGUGAAAUUGUUGAAAGGGAAGCGUUUAUGACCAGACUUGGCCCGGUUGAUCAUCCAGCGUUCUCGCUGGUGCACUCUGCCGGUCCAGGCCAGCAUCAGUUCGUCGCGGGGGAUAAAGGUUUCGGGAAUGUGGCUCCUCCGGGAGUGUUAUAGCCCGUUGCGUAAUACCCUGCGGUGGACUGAGGUCCGCGCUUCUGCAAGGAUGCUGGCGUAAUGGUCAUCAACGACCCGUCUUGAAACACGGACCAAGGAGUCGUCUUCGUAUGCGAGUGUUCGGGUGUAAAACCCCUACGCGUAAUGAAAGUGAACGCAGGUGAGAGCUUCGGCGCAUCAUCGACCGAUCCUGAUGUUCUCGGAUGGAUUUGAGUAAGAGCAUACGGGGCCGGACCCGAAAGAAGGUGAACUAUGCCUGUAUAGGGUGAAGCCAGAGGAAACUCUGGUGGAGGCUCGCAGCGGUUCUGACGUGCAAAUCGAUCGUCAAAUAUGGGCAUGGGGGCGAAAGACUAAU
rnacentral:rRNA from 1 species